CAGCGACCUAAGGUAGGGUCAGCGAUUGGGGUGAAGUCGUAACAAGGUAGCCGUAGGAGAACCUGCGGCUGGAUCACCUCCUUUCUAUGGAGAAAU
rnacentral:rRNA from 1 species